CGGGACGGGUGAGUAAUGUCUGGGAAACGUGCCUGAUGGAGGGGGAUAACUACUGGAAACGGUAGCUAAUACCGCAUAACGUCGCAAGACCAAAGAGGGGGACCUUCGGGCCUCUUGCCAUCGGAUGUGCCCAGAUGGGAUUAGCCAGUAGGUGGGGUAACGGCUCACCUAGGCGACGAUCCCUAGCUGGUCUGAGAGGAUGACCAGCCACACUGGAACUGAGACACGGUCCAG
rnacentral:rRNA from 1 species